UGGGGAAUAUUGGACAAUGGGCGAAAGCCUGAUCCAGCCAUGCCGCGUGUGUGAAGAAGGUCUUCGGAUUGUAAAGCACUUUAAGUUGGGAGGAAGGGCAGUAAGCGAAUACCUUGCUGUUUUGACGUUACCGACAGAAUAAGCACCGGCUAACUCUGUGCCAGCAGCCGCGGUAAUACAGAGGGUGCAAGCGUUAAUCGGAAUUACUGGGCGUAAAGCGCGCGUAGGUGGUUCGUUAAGUUGAAUGUGAAAGCCCCGGGCUCAACCUGGGAACUGCAUCCAAAACUGGCGAGCUAGAGUAGGGCAGAGGGUGGUGGAAUUUCCUGUGUAGCGGUGAAAUGCGUAGAUAUAGGAAGGAACACCAGUGGCGAAGGCGACCACCUGGACUCAUACUGACACUGAGGUGCGAAAGCGUGGGGAGCAAACAGGA
rnacentral:rRNA from 1 species